rnacentral:tRNA from 1 species
GGCGGGAUAGCUCAGUUGGUUAGAGCAACGGCUUCAUAAGCCGUGUGUCGCCGGUUCAAGUCCGGCUCCCGCUA